AGCGCAGGUGGUUUAUUAAGUCUGGUGUAAAAGGCAGUGGCUCAACCAUUGUAUGCAUUGGAAACUGGUAGACUUGAGUGCAGGAGAGGAGAGUGGAAUUCCAUGUGUAGCGGUGAAAUGCGUAGAUAUAUGGAGGAACACCGGUGGCGAAAGCGGCUCUCUGGCCUGUAACUGACACUGAGGCUCGAAAGCGUGGGGAGCAAAUA
rnacentral:rRNA from 1 species